UCUGCGUCGCUCACGCUGGGAGCUGUAGACCGGAGCUGUUCCUAUUCGGCCAUCUUGGCUCCUCCGCCUCAGAGGUAUUAUCGCUUCAGUUCCAGAUCACCACAGUAAAUACUGCAAUACACCAGGUGCAAGUUGAUAAAAGAAUUCUGGAAAUUGAAGGCCAAGGAAGAGUGACUCAAAAAUAAGAAGCAGGCUGAAAAAUGAGAUGAGGAGACCGAGGCUCGGAGAGGCUUAUGCAUUUGCCCAAGACUCUACAACUCCACAACUUAACAGGCAAUUGCAUCUAGCAUAUAAUGUGUUGGUUAUCCCCAGAACACAGAGCAGUGCAUCUCCACAGCGAGAAUUCCAGAACAGGGUAAUCAUCAAGAAUCAAAUGGCUUGGAUCUGGUCUCUUCUCUUUGAGGAAGCAAGCAGGCAUGGAGGUGAGUCAGGCCAUUGGAAGAUUUCCUGUGGCUGAUGAAGAAUCCAACUCCAGGUUGCUCUUCUUUGAAGAGGAUUCCAGAAAUGCUUAGGGGCUGCUUGUUUGGACUGUAGGAGCUUAGCUGAGCACCAAGCACCAGCAGGAAUCAGAGAAUGGUGGCUUCCAUCCUCUGCGCACAGCAGCAAGGAAGAUAUAUUGUUGUUUAUAAUUGCACUCCUGUGUCCUUACAGGCCACUUCCUCUUUCUCUCUCUCUGUGAUCUCAGGCAUGUUGUGUGCUUCCAGCUCAAGCCGGCUCUGUGUUUUAGGCCAACCAACACAAUUCAUAUAACAUCCUUGCACAUUUCCACCAUUUCCCGCCUCACCAUGCCUCAGAGGACUACAGGCUCCCCAAGACGGGACAUGGUUGGGCAGGUACCGGAUAGAUGCUGUCACUGCUGAAAAAGAAAAAAAUAUCCAAAGUAUUCACGUUGUACCUGCUGAGUGCCAGUACUGCAUGCUCUGGGGAUUCCAUUCCUGCCCCUAUGGAAGAGGGGUCAACUUUUCCAAAACAUCAUCUUCUAGAGGAAGAAGCUGAAGCCCAGCAAGGAAAAGUAACAUAACGAAGAUCUCAGCAGAAUGACGGUUAUCUGAGCAUCUAUAUUCUGGGGUUGCAAAAAGAACAAGAACGUAGGGUUCAAUGGACCUGAGUUCCAGGCCUCACUCUGUCACCAGCUGACUGUAAGAAGCCCACCCACCUCCACCUUCUCUAGAUCACAUGUUUUAUGGCCGCCUCAAAGGCGUGAAGCAGGUGAGUCGUGCUGCCUCUGCCAACAUCUGCUUUGUGAGCCUGGGAGUAUUUCACGGAGAUGUUUCUCUCGACAGGUUUAUGGCUGGUCUUGGCUCAGUGCCUUGAAAACACUGAUCAUGUGAUGAAACGAGAAUGUCAUGCUGCGGGCCAUCAAUAAACCACACUGGCAUUCCCGCUCCCACCCCGACACCACUCCACCCAUGCAAUUUCCCUCCCCUUCAGCCUCCUCCCUCCCCACCUCCCAAAGAUAUCCAGACCAGGCCAACUCAUUAGGAAGUGACAUCCACCAGGAUUCUUGGCCCCAGUCAAAAGAGUGGCCAGAGCUUGUCUGCUGCUUGCGGAUACUUUUCUGUUUUGUGUUAAACGUUUGAGUUUGGAAAUGAGCAAGAGCUAUGUCUAAGGGAAACCAGACAGCUUGUUUGAAAAUCCACUAAAUGGCCAUCGGAGGAUCAUGCCAGAUCUUAGAACAAAGUCUCAGUUAUUGCCUGAAAGCAUAAACUUUCAGGCAAGGCAUCUUCUCCAUGCUCCUCAGCAUCUGCAGAGUAGCAGAGACUUGAAAGAGAUGUGUCCUCUGGAUCCCACGUCAGAUGAUACAUCUUGGGAUUUCCCUACCUGGGGGAAGAGUGGGUUUUCCUGAGGAAAUUGCAAGUGGGCCUGAGUUUCUAGAGUGUGAGGUGAAAUGGAUGCCACUGUACUGAAUUCUGACCAAAACUCUGGAGAGAUGCUGCGAAGGAACUCAGCUUCCACUGAAAGGGUCAGUGAAGGCUUCAAGGACAGUAUCACAGCACUUUCCUAUCACUUCUAUAAAAAUCACAUCCACUUUUUCCCACCAACUUGCCCAUUCUCCUUGUCUGGGACACAGGCCCUGGUACUUUACAUUCAGGUCAUUUCCAAGGGAUAGAGAGAAAUAGACAGAGGCUGAAAGAGUGAUGGGGCCGGGAGACGCUGAGAUCAUUCAACUACCAAUGCCAUUCUGAA
rnacentral:lncRNA from 1 species